UGGCGGACGGGUGAGUAACGCGUGGGUAACCUGCCUCAUACAGGGGGAUAACGGUUAGAAAUGACUGCUAAUACCGCAUAAGCGCACAGUACCGCAUGGUACGGUGUGAAAAACUCCGGUGGUAUGAGAUGGACCCGCGUCUGGUUAGCUAGUUGGUGGGGUAACGGCCCACCAAGGCGACGAUCAGUAGCCGACCUGAGAGGGUGACCGGCCACAUUGGGACUGAGACACGGCCCAG
rnacentral:rRNA from 1 species